rnacentral:rRNA from 1 species
AAUCAACGCUGGCGGCGUGCCUAACACAUGCAAGUCGAACGAGAAAGUGGAGCAAUCCAUGAGUAAAGUGGCGACCGGGUGAGUAACACGUGACUAACCUACCCUUGAGUGGGGAAUAACCUUCCGAAAGGAGGGCUAAUACCGCAUAACGUCCUGUGGCUGAAAUGCCGUUGGACCAAAGGAGCAAUUCGUUUAAGGAGGGGGUCGCGGUUGAUUAGCUAGUUGGCGGGGUAAUGGCCCACCAAGGCGAUGAUCAAUAGCCGGCCUGAGAGGGCGC